UUUUCAUACGGCUUGGUCUGAGAAUUUAUCACAUCCCUUACUGGUUUGAUCUGAGUCGAAUCGGACCGUGAACACCCUAGCCGGUGGCAGUUUAUGUAAGCUGUAGAUCAGCCUUUUUUUCUUGUCAUUCAAUGGUUGUCGGUUUACUCGCUUCUACAGCACGUUUCAAACGGAAGAAGUCUCUAUUUCCCUCUUCACAACCCCUUCAAUCUCACAUUCGCUCUCCAGUCUCCACUUCCAGUACAGUAGUAUACACUUUGCGAAUGCACAGAGGUCGUAUAAACUGAUUUCGGUGUGUAUACAAAAGUACAGCAAUACAGUGAGAUGAGCUACUUGCAGAGGCUCAAAGCAGCGGCCCAGUUCAUCCUCUCGAGAGACCUAGACGUCGAGAAGUCGUCGCCAUUAGAUGGUGCUGAGUUUGGGGUUACGGCAUCACUGAAACCUCAUCAGGUGGAAGGAGUCUUGUGGCUUAUACGUAGAUAUAUUCUUGGCGUCAAUGUCAUUCUCGGUGACGAGAUGGGUCUUGGGAAGACUUUGCAAGCUCUUACUUUCUUGAGCUACUUGAAGGUUCGCCAGAUGUCACCUGGACCAUUUUUGGUUUUGUGUCCUCUAAGUGUGACUGAUGGUUGGGUGUCAGAGAUAGCCAACUUUUGUCCAAAAUUAAGGGUUCUUAGAUAUGUUGGUGACAAAGAAUUUCGGUGCAGUCAACGCAAGACAGUUUAUGAACAUGUAAAACAACAAUCCUCAUUGUUAGAUGCACAAUCAGCUUUUCCUUUUGAUGUGUUUUUGACAACAUAUGACAUUGCAUUGAUGGAUCAAGAUUUUCUUUCUCAAGUUCCUUGGCACUAUGCAAUCAUUGACGAAGCUCAGAGACUUAAAAAUCCUUCAAGUGUUCUGUACGAUGUACUUGAACAGCGUUUUGUUAUGCCAAGACGAUUAUUGUUGACGGGAACUCCUAUCCAAAACAACCUCUCUGAGCUCUGGGCUCUAAUGCAUUUUUGUAUGCCAUCGGUCUUUGGGACAUCAGAACAAUUCCUCUCCACAUUUAAGGAAGCUGGGGAUCCUUCAGCAGGUCAUGAUGCAGUCAAGGUUAAGGAAAAAUUCAAAACUCUAAAAUAUAUAUUGGGGGCAUUUAUGCUUCGGCGAACCAAAUCCAUGCUUAUUGAGUGUGGAACUCUUGAGCUACCUCCUCUUACAGAGAUUACUGUGAUGGCACCUUUAGUAACCUUGCAAAAGAAGGUCUACAUGUCAAUAUUGCGGAGGGAGCUUUCUAAACUUCUUGCUUUCUCUUCUGGGGCAUCUAAUCAUCAAUCCUUACAAAAUAUUGUAAUUCAAUUGCGGAAGGCAUGUAGCCAUCCUUACCUCUUUCCUGGUAUUGAACCAGAACCAUACAAGGAGGGUGAACAUCUUGUACAGGCUAGUGGUAAACUUAUAAUUUUGGACAAACUGCUUCAGAAGCUGCAUGCUUCUGGACACCGAGUUCUGCUAUUUGCUCAGAUGACUCAUACACUUGAUAUUCUUCAGGAUUUUCUGGAGUUACGAGGGUAUACAUAUGAACGUCUUGAUGGAUCUAUUAGGGCUGAGGAGCGCUUUGCAGCAAUAAGAAGUUUUAGUCAUCAAUCAGUUAAAGACACAUUUAAUGCUCAAGCUGAUCAACAUGGUGCAUUUGUUUUUAUGAUCUCAACAAGAGCAGGGGGAGUUGGUCUAAACCUUGUCGCUGCUGAUACUGUUAUAUUUUAUGAGCAAGACUGGAAUCCCCUAGUGGACAAGCAGGCUCUGCAGCGUGCUCACCGAAUUGGUCAGAUGAACCAUGUCCUAUCUAUAAAUCUAGUAACAGAGCGCACAGUGGAGGAGGUAAUUAUGAGGAGAGCAGAGAGAAAGUUGCAGCUCGUCCAUAAUGUGGUAGGAGAUUAUGACAUGGACAAGGAAGGAAAAACAGUGGGAGUUGAAGCUGGUGAUUUGCAGUCUGUCAUAUUUGGAUUACAUAUGUUUGACCCUACAGAUAUCAAUGUUGAUAAUUUAAAGGAGGUCAAUACAUCGGAUUUGAGUACAAUGGUUGAACAGGUGACUGAAAUGCGCUAUGAACCAUUGGACAGUGAUGGUAGGAAAUUUGUAAUCAAUCCAAUGGAUCUUCUGAAUGGGGCUGAUUUUUCAAUUAGAACCACUUCAUCUAUUGAUUUUGAUCCUGGGCUUGAUGAGGCCUCGUAUCUUUCAUGGGUUGAAAAGUUUAAGGAAGCAUCAAAGUUGAUUGAUUCUCCAACUAUAGAGUUGCGAGCACAGAGAAACUUACCUGAAGAAAAACAUAUGAAGCUUGAAGCUGCAAGGAAGAAAGCUGAGGAAAAGAAGUUAGCCAAGUGGGAGGCACUUGGUUACCAAUCACUAGCUGUCAAAGGUCCUGCUUGUCCUAUGGUUGGUGACAUUAUGCCAGAUUCAGGUUCUGUCCAAUUUGUUUAUGGAGAUUGUACAGAUCCAUCAAAAGUGUGUCCGUCUGAGCCUGCAAUAAUAUUUAGUUGUAUAGAUAACUCUGGUAAUUGGGGCCAUGGAGGAAUGUUUGAUGCACUAGAAAAACUUUCAGCAAGUAUUCCUGAUGCUUAUCGGCGUGCUUUCGAAUUUGGGGACCUUCAUUUGGGUGAUCUCCAUCUUAUAAAACUCAAUGAAGAUCAUGAAGAGACAGCAGAUCAAAAGCGUUCUUGGUGGGUGGCUUUAGCUGUUGUACAGUCGUACAAUUCUAGACAUAAAGUGCGAUGCAGCAAUAUUUCUUUACCUGACUUAGAACAAUGUUUAUCCAAGGCAUCUUACUCAGCUGCUCAGAAUUCUGCAUCAAUCCAUAUGCCACGAAUUGGUUAUCAAGAUGGAUCUCAACAUUCGGAGUGGUACACAGUGGAACGUCUUUUACGAAAAUAUGCAUCUGUAUACAGCAUAAGAAUUUUUGUGUAUUACUUCCGACGUUCUUCAUGAUAAUGUGAAAAUGGUCUAUUGUCCAGCAGAGUCUUGCAUCUAUUGCAAUGGAAAAGGAGCGGGUGAAAACACUGAUUGAUGUGAUCAAUACCAUCAUACCACGCAUAUGGAAUGAUAUUGUCAGCUGGACCCGUUUGUGAGAGAUUUGAAAAACCUUAAAUGCCAAAAUACACAUACAUGAGCCAAGAAAUCAACUUUCCUGUGAAACUAUUUCUGGUAACUUUCUUGAAGGGUUUUAGUGCAAUUCAAUCAACGCUGAAGCCCUUCCAAACAAGUCUUAAAUAUAUAGUCAUUGCACCGGUAUUUACCAAUGUGUACUGAGACACUUGUCACAUAUUUGGUGGAAGUGCAGAAAAUAUGCAGAAAAGAAUUAACACAGGUCCACAUAUUCGAAUUGGAAUUUUGUGGCUGGGCAAUAGUGGUGAAUGAUCCAAAUAUUGGUCAGGUGGUGAAUAAGGGGAUUAACAUUUAGAAAAC